rnacentral:lncRNA from 1 species
CUUUCUCUCUCUAUAUUUGCUUCUCUCCUUCAUCUCUCUUUAUACCCUCAGAUGCCGCCAUCUCUUUCAGCCAAACCAUCACCGAUCGACGACGGCCAUAGAUAUCAUCAGCCAUAAGAAGGGUAAAUCUCCAUCCAAAAGAACAGAUUCACCCUUACUGCGUGACGAAGCAUCAAAGAUUUGGUAGGUUUUUGUGUGGUAGUGGCGGCGAUUUUGUGGGGGUGGAUCUAGAAUCGUCGGCCAAAAGAAAUACAAAUAGGGGGAUAGAAGUUAGCGAUGCAGACGGGCGAUGCCACGCGAAGUCGUUGAUGAGAUUUCUCUCUGUUUCGAUGGUGGUGAUGGUGUGUGGUAGCGAUGUUGUGGUGGUGGCUGGCAGUGGCGUAUCUGGUAGUUGAGGUCGAUGUGCAGUGGUUUUGAUGUAUGAGUUUUUCUGUUGGUGGAGGCUAAUGAAAUGGUAAGAGAUUUUGGGUUAUUAUUGUAGUAGUGGUGAUGUCGAUGAUGGUAGCGAUGGGCGACGUCGCUAGUGGUUGUUGGCAAUGUUGGGGUGCUUUGGAGUGGUGUUAUAGGGCAUGGGUGCUAUUGGUGUUGUAGUGGUGGUGAUGUUGACGGUGGUGACAGCUUCCAUGUUUUGGAGGUAGCAGGGCGAUAAUGGUGAUAGUGAUGGUGGUUGUAGUGGUCGUGGCGAUGGUUGUGAGUGGGAUGAGAUGGGG